UUUCUACUCAGACCCAUUCUCUAUUCUAUCAUUGUACCUCACGACCCUCGAUUUUUCUUCAUCUUACUGAAACCCAAAUCACCAAAACCGUGAGACCCAGCCCCAACACCUGCGAUUUCGUUCAUUCUCGGCUUCGUAUGUGGGGGAAGGGUUGAGGUCGGGAUGACGUGGAGCUUGGACUCAACGAAGACGUAGCCGGAGGUGAUGGAGCGGUAGAGCGGGACGAAGGCCGUACCAAUGGGUGAGGUUAGCAUCGUGAUGAAGAUAAGGAAGAGAGAAACAAUGGAGCCUAUCGCCAAGGGGAAAAUCCAUUUCCUCUCUAUGGUGCUUCAGGGAUCUUCAUGCAAUAGCAACAAAUAGAGAGAAUAUAUUGUGUUCUCUUUAGGGAUGAGAAGACUUCUGAAGAUGAAACCUAUUGAAAUAGUUUAGCAAUGGGUUAAAUUAUGUUGAGGAAAUCUGCACUUUUUGGUAGGGAAUAUGCACUUUUUGGUUUGGAGUUGAUGGUCCUUUGAGGAAUUUGCACUUUUUGGUAGGUAAUCUGCAGUUUUUUGUUUGGAGUUGAUGGUGCUUUUAGGUUUACUAGGGAACAAGUUGAACAACUUGACAAGAACAAGCAAUGGUCCAGGGCACUUGAUGGUUCUGAUUACCUCCCAGGAAUGGUACCUAUCUUUGGCUGUUCAUGUUGUGGUUGCAGCUGUCUUGAACUCAGGUGACAAGUUGGUAUUUGGAGCAAACCAUGCUUAUGUAUCCUUUUAUUUAGGUUUUGGGUGUUUACUUCAAUUAGUUCUAUGGUGUUGAAUCUGGGUUAAGAGCAUGAGGAGAGCAGUUUAAUAAAUGGGUUUAAAUUUUUGUUUCUUUGCAUGUCAUGGUUUUCUGCAUCAUUGGGUUUAUUUUUACACAUAUUUCCUUCUAAGACCCUCAUUUCUUGGUUUCUUUUAAUUUUAAUUUUCGGGGUGUCUACAAGUGGGACGUGAAGAAAACCCUCAGUUGAUCUCCAUUGCAGUAGAUACCCGUCACUGGUUGCAUAUAGGGGCUAACCUAGAGAAAUUACGUUAAGGAAUAAAGUCUCCUUUGAUUUCUGGCGGAGCUUGACUGGUACAUCUUCAAUGUGUUCAAUUGAAAUUAAAAAUAUGGGCCUACUCUGCAGCAGAAAUUGUCAUUUCAGAGGAGUAGAGGCUGAAGAGAAGGCACACACGUAAGUUCUCUCUUUUUUUAUUUUUUUUAUUUGAUUUUUUAUGUUUGGUAAAACACAUCCUUGGUUAUGCCCAUGUAUGAAAUAAUUGUAGAGCAACUUUAUGUGGCAUAUAGCUUUAUUUUUCUUUUCAAUGUGUGGCUUGCAGGAUGCAGAAAUUGAAAGGAGAAUUGAGGAACAAACAAAAGCUGAAAAGCAUAUCCAAAAACUUCUUUUACUUGGUACACGUAACUUAGACAGUAACACUAGUUACUAUUUUUUUGUUUGUAUCCACUAAAAUUAUCUACUUGUUAAUUGAAGCUCAUGAAG